rnacentral:rRNA from 1 species
AGAGUAUGAUCCUGGCUCAGAAGGAACGCUGGCAGCGUGCAUAACACAUGCAAGUCGAACGAUGAAACACUCUUCGGAAUGUGGAAGAGUGGCGAACGGGUGAGGAACACGUAGGAAUCUGCCCCUCGGUCGGGGACAACUCUUGGAAACGAGAGCUAAUACCCGAUACGCUGUGGAGUGAAAGAAUUUCGCCGAGGGAUGAUCUUGCGUCUGAUUAGCUAGUUGGUGUGGUAAUGGCAUACCAAGGCGACGAUCAGUAGCUGGUCUGAGAGGAUGAACAGCCACAUUGGAACUGAGACACGGUCCAAACUCCUACGGGAGGCAGCAGUGGGGAAUUUUCCGCAAUGGACGAAAGUCUGACGGAGCGACGCUGCGUGAAGGAUGACGGCCUGCGGGUUGUAAACUUCUUUUCUCGAAGAAGAAGCUCUGACGGUAUUCGAGGAAUAAGCAUCGGCUAACUCCGUGCCAGCAGCCGCGGUAAUACGGAGGAUGCAAGUGUUAUUCGGAAUGAUUGGGCGUAAAGCGUCUGUAGGCUGUAUAGAAAGUCUUUUGUUAAAUGCCUCGGCUCAACCGAGAUCCAGCAAAGGAAACUUCUAUACU